rnacentral:rRNA from 1 species
UGGGGAAUUUUGGACAAUGGGGGAAACCCUGAUCCAGCCAUCCCGCGUGUGCGAUGAAGGCCUUCGGGUUGUAAAGCACUUUUGGCAGGAAAGAAACGUCAUGGGUUAAUACCCCGUGAAACUGACGGUACCUGCAGAAUAAGCACCGGCUAACUACGUGCCAGCAGCCGCGGUAAUACGUAGGGUGCAAGCGUUAAUCGGAAUUACUGGGCGUAAAGCGUGCGCAGGCGGUUCGGAAAGAAAGAUGUGAAAUCCCAGGGCUCAACUUUGGAACUGCAUUUUUAACUACCGGGCUAAAGUGUGUCAAACGGAGGUGGAAUUCCGAGUGUAGCAGUGAAAUGCGUAGUUAUGCGUAGGAACACCGAUGGCGAAGGCAGCCUCUUGGGAUAACACUGACACUCAUGCACGAAAGCGUGGGGAGCCAACAGG